GAGUGAUCGAAAGAUGAAAAGCACUUUGAAAAGAGAGUUAAACAGCACGUGAAAUUGUUGAAAGGGAAGCGUUUGCGACCAGACUCGCCCGCGGGGUUCAGCCGGCAUUCGUGCCGGUGUACUUCCCCGUGGGCGGGCCAGCGUCGGUUUGGGCGGCCGGUCAAAGGCCCUCGGAAUGUAUCACCCCUCGGGGUGUCUUAUAGCCGAGGGUGCAAUGCGGCCUGCCCGGACCGAGGAACGCGYUCGG
rnacentral:rRNA from 1 species